GCCUACGUAGUUUAACUGCCGGUCAAAAUACUCCCAUUUGGAAGGGAGAGAAGUGGGUCCAAUCCCCACCGUAGGCU
rnacentral:tRNA from 1 species